rnacentral:rRNA from 1 species
UACGUAGGGUGCAAGCGUUAAUCGGAAUUACUGGGCGUAAAGCGUGCGCAGGCGGUUCGAAAGAAAGAUGUGAAAUCCCAGAGCUUAACUUUGGAACUGCAUUUUUAACUACCGAGCUAGAGUGUGUCAGAGGGAGGUGGAAUUCCGCGUGUAGCAGUGAAAUGCAUAGAUAUGCGGAGGAACACCGAUGGCGAAGGCAGCCUCCUGGGAUAACACUGACGCUCAUGCACGAAAGCGUAGGGAGCAAACAGG